ensembl:lncRNA
CGCACAUGUCUGAUGGAGGAGUCGCCCUCAGAAAGUAGAUGACCCGCUCCAGCUGAUGAGAGGGGCAGAGAGGACCCAGCUGAGAAGUGGAGGGAAUCUCUGAACAGCGCUUGAGGAACGAACAUAUGAUAAGUUCUCAGCCUCUGCUAGUCAGGAGAAUGCAAAUUAAAGCCAACACAAGAUACUAGAGGCCCCCAGACUAGCACAGCGUCAGGAGGGUGCGGCACUGUGGGCUCUGGGCCAGGGCGACCCUGCCUCUUCCUCAGUCUGGAGGAACCUGCCCUGACCCAGGAGGACCACAUCGGGCUCGCUGCGGAGCCUGUAUCCCAGCGGAAAGGAGACGUGGUCACAUGACAGACCGGGAGGAGCGCACGCUGCGAGCGUGCCCAGGGCUUGCUGUCUACGUGAAGCUCAACGCGUGAGCCGCGUGCGCGCACUGCAUGGGGUCACCGCACAGCGACAAGUGGUUUGCGCUCUGUGGGCGUUGGGGGCGAGGGGAGGGGAGGGGAGAGGCGGGAGCACGAGGUCUUCUGCGUCCUCCACAGGUCACUGGUGGCCUUCAGGGCCUUUAAAAUUAAAUGCCGAUUAUAUGAGAAAAAAUCCCCUGUCGAGCUCCUGCCUCGCCGCCCGCCCGCCCGGAACCGAAACACAGUGGCAGAGGCAGGACUUAGGGGGCCACAGCAAGACCCUGGCGAGGGCGGGGCUGGGAGCGGGAUGCGUGGCCACGUGCGGUCAGCGGGGACUCGCCAUGGGCGGCACCCACCACCCAGCUGUGGCCCCAGAGGCCGGAAGAUUAAUCGAUCAGCUGCCUGCGCCGUCAGGUCUGUUCCUGGAAAAAGGAAAAACUGUCCCGAGUCCUGCGGCCCGUCCUCCUGGCAGCGCACCCCUUCCUGCACCAGCAGUCUCUCCCGAGUGACCCACUCCCUGCAGCUUGCAAACCCCAAGACGCCAGCCUCUACAGCACCAGAGCCCCGCAUGCCGCCCCUCCCCAGCCACGGCUGCACGUCUCUGCGCCCCUCGGCACUCACGGAGCGGCAGUGCAGUCUUCCCUGGAGGUGCGCGCACCCACAAGGCACCUUCCUUGUGGUUCCUGGGGGCUGUUUCUUCCUCCAACGUGGCUCCUGCCCUGCCCAGGUGAAGGCUGUUUCCCUAGCAGCGCCUGGCUUCCUGGCGCUGCUCUGGCUGCUGUGGGCCCCGUGUCCUCCCAGUCUAGACGUCUUCCUCUGGGUGACCCUUAGGGUCUGGCAGGGCGAUGCAUGGGAAGAGACACCUUGGGGUGGAGGUCUCCGGAGGCCGGGGGUUGCCCCCUUGGGCCUCAGACACUGAGAGGGACAGGAGCUGAGAGCAGAGCGGGCACCAGGACUGGCGUUGGUGGGCGGGAGCAAGUGGGGGCAGAAUACCAGGCCCUGCCUGUCUCCCUCCAGUGCAGGUGGGUGCGCCCAGCACCCAGGGCAGAGGGGGCACAGCUCCGGGGCACAGACCAGUGGCGGUCCAUCCCCUGGUACCAUCCACACCUCCGCUGCUGUGCCAGCGUGCAGUUCUCGAAUCCGACUGUGCCGAGCGAACAUGCUCUUCCCCUCCACGUUGCUGUCUUGGUACCGCCGCCCACAUACAUGUUAGCUCGGUCCAAAAACUAAGCCUCAGAUUUCUCUGUUUUGAACACCCUCCCUCUAGCGCACCUGCAGUAUGUUGGCUCUGAACACGGCCUGACUUCCGUCGAGACCACUUCUGUCCUCGGCAGUCCACACAAGCAACUUGCCUUUUGAUUUCUCUCCCGACAGGGCACCUGGCAGCCUUCCUGCUCUCUUCCUAGGGAAGGGAAUAUGAGCAACUGUGUGCUGGUUGGGAAAGGAGAUGUUCUGUAUGUAAAGGGAAGUUUAAGCCUUCCGGAAA